rnacentral:rRNA from 1 species
UACGUAGGGUGCGAGCGUUGUCCGGAAUUAUUGGGCGUAAAGAGCUUGUAGGCGGUUUGUCGCGUCUGCUGUGAAAUCCCGAGGCUCAACCUCGGGCCUGCAGUGGGUACGGGCAGACUAGAGUGCGGUAGGGGAGAUUGGAAUUCCUGGUGUAGCGGUGGAAUGCGCAGAUAUCAGGAGGAACACCGAUGGCGAAGGCAGAUCUCUGGGCCGUAACUGACGCUGAGGAGCGAAAAGCGUAGGGAGCGAACAGG